AGACCCGAAACCCGGUGAUCUAGCCAUGGGCAGGUUGAAGGUUGGGUAACACUAACUGGAGGACCGAACCGACUAAUGUUGAAAAAUUAGCGGAUGACCUGUGGCUGGGGGUGAAAGGCCAAUCAAACCGGGAGAUAGCUGGUUCUCCCCGAAAGCUAUUUAGGUAGCGCCUCGUGAAUUCAUCUCCGGGGGUAGAGCACUGUUUCGGCUAGGGGGCCAUCCCGGCUUACCAACCCGAUGCAAACUGCGAAUACCGGAGAAUGUUAUCACGGGAGACACACGGCGGGUGCUAACGUCCGUCGUGAAGAGGGAAACAACCCAGACCGCCAGCUAAGGUCCCAAAGUCAUGGUUAAGUGGGAAACGAUGUGGGAAGGCCCAGACAGCCAGGAUGUUGGCUUAGAAGCAGCCAUCAUUUAAAGAAAGCGUAAUAGCUCACUGGUCGAGUCGGCCUGCGCGGAAGAUGUAACGGGGCUAAACCAUGCACCGAAGCUGCGGCAGCGAACGUAUCACCCAAGACAACUUUACGGAGUUGACGAUUGACGGAGCGAAGCGACGUCAAAGCGUUCAUUAAAGUCGAGUUGGCUUAGGGAUACGUUCGUUGGGUAGGGGAGCGUUCUGUAAGCCUGUGAAGGUGUGUCGUGAGGCAUGCUGGAGGUAUCAGAAGUGCGAAUGCUGACAUAAGUAACGAUAAAGCGGGUGAAAAGCCCGCUCGCCGGAAGACCAAGGGUUCCUGUCCAACGUUAAUCGGGGCAGGGUGAGUCGACCCCUAAGGCGAGGCCGAAAGGCGUAGUCGAUGGGAAACGGGUUAAUAUUCCCGUACUUGGUGUUACUGCGAAGGGGGGACGGAGAAGGCUAUGUUGGCCGGGCGACGGUUGUCCCGGUUUAAGCGUGUAGGUGUGUGUUCCAGGUAAAUCCGGUUCACUUUAAC
rnacentral:rRNA from 5 species